CUGGCUCAGGAUGAACGCUGGCGGCGUGCCUAACACAUGCAAGUCGAACGGAGAUUU
rnacentral:rRNA from 1 species